CACGUAGGGGGCGAGCGUUGUCCGGAUUUAUUGGGCGUAAAGAGCUCGUAGGUGGCUCGGUAAGUCGGGUGUGAAAUUUCGAGGCUCAACCCCGAGACGCCACUUGAUACUGCUGUGGCUAGAGUCCGGUAGGGGAGCGUGGAAUUCCUGGUGUAGCGGUGAAAUGCGCAGAUAUCAGGAGGAACACCAGCGGCGAAGGCGGCGCUCUGGGCCGGUACUGACACUGAGGAGCGAAAGCGUGGGGAUCAAACAGG
rnacentral:rRNA from 1 species